AGCAGUAGGGAUCUUCCGCAAUGGACGAAAGUCUGACGGAGCAACGCCGCGUGAGUGAUGAAGGUUUUCGGAUCGUAAAGCUCUGUUGUUAGGGAAGAACAAGUGCCGUUCAAAUAGGGCGGCACCUUGACGGUACCUAACCAGAAAGCCACGGCUAACUACGUGCCAGCAGCCGCGGUAAUACGUAGGUGGCAAGCGUUGUCCGGAAUUAUUGGGCGUAAAGGGCUCGCAGGCGGUUUCUUAAGUCUGAUGUGAAAGCCCCCGGCUCAACCGGGGAGGGUCAUUGGAAACUGGGGAACUUGAGUGCAGAAGAGGAGAGUGGAAUUCCACGUGUAGCGGUGAAAUGCGUAGAGAUGUGGAGGAACACCAGUGGCGAAGGCGACUCUCUGGUCUGUAACUGACGCUGAGGAGCGAAAGCGUGGGGAGCGAACAGGAUUAGAUACCCUGGUAGUCCACGCCGUAAACGAUGAGUGCUAAGUGUUAGGGGGUUUCCGCCCCUUAGUGCUGCAGCUAACGCAUUAAGCACUCCGCCUGGGGAGUACGGUCGCAAGACUGAAACUCAAAGGAAUUGACGGG
rnacentral:rRNA from 2 species